CAAAGGAUAUGUUUCACAUAGUUUUAAUCCUAUAGACAGUUUAUUGGCAUUUGAAACAUUUUUUAUCUACAUGUAUUUGGAGUGUGAUUCCUUUUUAUCUUGUAAGCCACCUUGAGCCCCACUUUGAGAAAAAGUGGGAUAUACAUAAACCAACACAAUGCAGCACAGCUGCUGCUUCAGCACCAGCAUCUCCAGACCUUGGGUUCUUCUGUUCGCAGCCUGAUCUAAACACAAAAAGACAUAUUUUGAUAAUCCGCUCUUUGAGGUUCAGUCCUUUUAAGGCUCUUCGUGGAAAUGUCAAACUCAUUCCAAUGCUGUGCUGUAAAGGAAGCCUUCUGGCACCUGGCCAAGGACCAAAGAUUGAGACAGCUGGCAUGCACUCUCGGGGGCAUUCAAAAACGCUUUGGAGUUUAUUUAAGUCAGCAAAGAAAGUUUUUAUUGUCCAGAAUGGCAAAUACAUGAAGGAGAGGUGUACAAAGAACCCAACUAAAGAUUUGGAAGAAUAUCCUUGAAUAGAUUGGUUCAUUCCAACUAAAAUAUAUCCACUAAUUCAUUGAAUCUAUAUAACAAUUAAUAAGGAAGAAUGUCAAAAUUGUAAGGAUGCAUACCAUGAUUUAGGAUUUGCAGCAUUUAUUUGAUUUAUAUUAUGCCUAGACUUAAUGUCAGGAGAAAACCUUUACCUUUACCUUUCUCCCAAUGCAGGAUAUAAAGCACAGAAUGAGAACCCAAUUAUGUUGGAAAUAGCAACCUUCUUCAAGCCUCCAGGAGUAAUUUGUUUGUAUAUCAUUCUGUUUGCUUAUUGAAUUGUAUAUGUAUGUUUUGUUAUGGAGCUUUCCCUUUAUGUUUCUUGAGGUUGUGGAAGGGCUGCAGGCCACAUGGUCAGAUCUGGGACGGCUGAGAUCUGAGACUCCAUUUUAGAACAGAGAUGCUAUGGAACACAGAGAUGCUAUGGAGCAGAGAGAUGCCAUGACAUACAAUGGAACAGAAUAAAUGCUUUAGCCAUGAGAUUCUUUAGACUUCAGACAGCUUAGAGCACUGAACAUCAGACACCAUGUAGACUUUGGACUGUAAAGAGCAAACUCAUGUUGCUCUUGAUUAGAAGAAUGAAGACCUGUGUUAGCUGCAUAAAGAAACUACUUCAUACCUAUCUGUAACCGGAUUGACAAGUUAUGUACCUGUAUGCUGAAUACAUGAAUGUUAUGGAUAGCAAACUUCAACCAGUUCUCCAGCUUCAGGAGAUGCCUAAACUGGGAAGAAAGUUGACAGACAACAGCUACUACAAUUCAAAGGCAAGCUUGUCUCGCACAUGAAAGAUUCAUUGAGCAUUUGUUUCCAAUACCCGAUUCUCUUCAAAUAA